GCGAAUCGAUGGGAGCUUGCUCCCUGAGAUUAGCGGCGGACGGGUGAGUAACACGUGGGCAACCUGCCUAUAAGACUGGGAUAACUUCGGGAAACCGGAGCUAAUACCGGAUACGUUCUUUUCUCGCAUGAGAAAAGAUGGAAAGACGGUUUACGCUGUCACUUAUAGAUGGGCCCGCGGCGCAUUAGCUAGUUGGUGAGGUAAUGGCUCACCAAGGCGACGAUGCGUAACCGACCUGAGAGGGUGAUCGGCCACACUGGGACUGAGACACGGCCCACACUCCUACGGGAGGCAGCAGUAGGGAAUCUUCCGCAAUGGACGAAAGUCUGACGGACCAACGCCGCGUGAACAAAGAAGGCCUUCGGGUCGUAAAGUUCUGUUGUUAGGGAAGAACAAGUACCAAAGUAACUGCUGGUACCUUGACGGUACCUAACCAGAAAGCCACGGCUAACUACGUGCCAGCAGCCGCGGUAAUACGUAGGUGGCAAGCGUUGUCCGGAAUUAUUGGGCGUAAAGCGCGCGCAGGUGGUUCCUUAAGUCUGAUGUGAAAGCCCACGGCUCAACCGUGGAGGGUCAUUGGAAACUGGGGAACUUGAGUGCAAAAGAGGAAAGUGGAAUUCCAAGUGUAGCGGUGAAAUGCGUAUAGAUUUGGAGGAACACCAGUGGCGAAAGCGACUUUCUGGUCUGUAACUGACACUGAGGCGCGAAAGCGUGGGGAGCAAACAGGAUUAGAUACCCUGGUAGUCCACGCCGUAAACGAUGAGUGCUAAGUGUUAGAGGGUUUCCGCCCUUUAGUGCUGCAGCUAACGCAUUAAGCACUCCGCCUGGGGAGUACGGCCGCAAGGCUGAAACUCAAAGG
rnacentral:rRNA from 1 species